rnacentral:sRNA from 1 species
UUACUUCUAAUGCAGUCGGUGCUGACA